UCCAUACUGUCGCCAUCUGCGCGCAGAAUACAACAGCCUGCAUGACCCAUAUCUGCAGGACUACCACAACCGCAAAGACAACCUGCAGAACCUGAAGAACAGGGGCCUUGUCACCGAGGAUGGCAAAGUUGUCUGCACUCUGAAAGAGUUCAACGAGUACAGGCAGUACCUGACCAGGCUGAAGCUGGAGCGGGAGAAAAUAAAGAGGCAAAAAGAGG